rnacentral:rRNA from 1 species
GGAUGUGUAGUGCGAUGUGGGGACGGAGAAGGUUAGCUCAGCCAACUGUUGGAUAUGUUGGUUCAAGCCUGUAGUCGUGCCUGGUAGGUAAAUCCGCCGGGCUUAGAUGAGGGGUGAUAACGAGGCUGCUUGCAGCCGAAGUGAGUAAUACCCUGCUUCCAGGAAAAGCCACUAAGCUUCAGCUACACACGACCGUACCGCAAACCGACACUGGUGCGCGAGAUGAGUAUUCUAAGGCGCUUGAGAGAACUCAGGAGAAGGAACUCGGCAAAUUGACACCGUAACUUCGGAAGAAGGUGUGCCUUUAGUAGGUGAAGGGAUUUACUCCUGGAGCCCAAUGAGGUUGCAAAAAAUCGGUGGCUGCGACUGUUUAUUAAAAACACAGCACUCUGCAAACACGAAAGUGGACGUAUAGGGUGUGACGCCUGCCCGGUGCUGGAAGAUUAAAUGAUGGGGUGCAAGCUCUUGAUUGAAGUCCCAGUAAACGGCGGCCGUAACGAUAACGGUCCUAAGGUAGCGAAAUUCCUUGUCGGGUAAGUUCCGACCUGCACGAAUGGCGUAACGAUGGCCACACUGUCUCCUCCUGAGACUCAGCGAAGUUGAAAUGUUUGUGAUGAUGCAAUCUCCCCGCGGAAAGACGGAAAGACCCCAUGAACCUUUACUGUAGCUUUGUAUUGGACUUUGAACGGAUCUGUGUAGGAUAGGUGGGAGGCUUUGAAGCAGGGUCGCUAGAUCUUGUGGAGCCAACGUUGAAAUACCACCCUGGUGCGUUUGAGGUUCUAACCUAGGUCCAUUAUCUGGAUCGGGGACAGUGCAUGGUAGGCAGUUUGACUGGGGCGGUCCCCUCCCAAAGCGUAACGGAGGAGUUCGAAGGUACGCUAGUUACGGUCGGACAUCGUGACGAUAGUGCAAUGGCAUAAGCGUGCUUAACUGCGAGACUGACAAGUCGAGCAGAUGCGAAAGCAGGACAUAGUGAUCCGGUGGUUCUGUAUGGAAGGGCCAUCGCUCAACGGAUAAAAGGUACUCUGGGGAUAACAGGCUGAUACCGCCCAAGAGUUCAUAUCGACGGCGGUGUUUGGCACCUCGAUGUCGGCUCAUCUCAUCCUGGGGCUGUAGCCGGUCCCAAGGGUAUGGCUGUUCGCCAUUUAAAGAGGUACGUGAGCUGGGUUUAAAACGUCGUGAGACAGUUUGGUCCCUAUCUUCCGUGGGCGCUGCAGAUUUGAGGAAGCCUGCUCCUAGUACGAGAGGACCGGAGUGGACACACCUCUGGUGUAUCGGUUGUCACGCCAGUGGCAUUGCCGAGUAGCUAAGUGUGGAAGAGAUAACCGCUGAAAGCAUCUAAGCGGGAAACUCGUUUCAAGAUGAGAUCUGCCGGGGCCUUGAGCCCCCUGAAGAGUCGUUCAAGACCAGGACGUUGAUAGGUCGGGUGUGGAAGCUA